rfam:Cladophialophora carrionii strain KSF Contig1633, whole genome shotgun sequence.
CUUCGGGUUGAUAACUAGGCGGCGGUUUCACAUUUUGCUCCCACGACCUUUGCCCUUUAAGUACCCGAGAGAUUGAAAGUUUCGACUUGCGAUCGAUCUUACACGUUUGCAUCCUUUUGCCCAUGUUUGUUAUAUGUUUAUUCGAUCGCAACAUCU